GAGUUUGAUCAUGGCUCAGAUUGAACGCUGGCGGCAUGCCUAACACAUGCCAGUCGAACGGCAGCAUGGUCUAACUUGCUAGACUGAUGGCGAGUGGCGGACGGGUGAGUAACGCGCAGGAACAUGCCUUAAAGAGGGGGAUAACUUGGGGAAACUCAAGCUAAUACCGCAUAAGCUCUGAGGAGUAAAGCUGGGGACCUUCGGGCCUGGCGCUUUAAGAAUGGCCUGCGUACGAUUAGCUAGUUGGUGGGGUAAAGGCUUACCAAGGCGACGAUCGUUAGCUGGUUUGAGAGAAUGGCCAGCCACACUGGAACUGAGACACGGUCCAGACUCCUACGGGAGGCAGCAGUGUGGAAUAUUGGACAAUGGGGGGAACCCUGAUCCAGCAAUGCCGCGCGUGUGAAGACUGUCUGAGGGUUCUUAAUCACUUUCUCUGGUUAGGAUGAUUAUCGGGUCAAGAGCUAGGUAAUUGGACGUUAUCCACAGAACACCCACCGGCUAACUCCGUGCCAGCAGCCGCGGUAAUACGGAGGGUGCGAGCGUUAAUCGGAAUUACUGGGCGUAAAGGGUGCGCAGGUGGUUGUAUAAGUUAUCUGUGAAAAUCCCUGGGCUUAACCUGCGGCAGGCAGAUAAGAACCGUACAACUCGACCACGCGAGAGGGUAUUGGAAUUUCCCGUGUACGGUGAAAUGCUUACAGAUCUAAGGAACACCAGCGGCCAAGGCGGCUACUGCCUAAUACUGACAC
rnacentral:rRNA from 1 species